rnacentral:tRNA from 1 species
CAAAAAGUAGCUUACCCAAAGCAUUCAGCUUACAAUUGAAAAACGUUAGACGCACUAACCUUUUUGA